rnacentral:rRNA from 1 species
AGUGAACGCUGGCGGUAGGCCUAACACGUGCCAGUCGAACGGCAGCACAGUAAGAGCUUGCUCUUACGGGUGGCGAGUGGCGGACGGGUGAGGAAUACAUCGGAAUCUACUUUUUCGUGGGGGAUAACGUAGGGAAACUUACGCUAAUACCGCAUACGACCUACGGGUGAAAGCAGGGGAUCUUCGGACCUUGCGCGAUUGAAUGAGCCGAUGUCGGAUUAGCUAGUUGGCGGGGUAAAGGCCCACCAAGGCGACGAUCCGUAGCUGGUCUGAGGGGAUGAUCAGCCACACUGGAACUGAGACACGGUCCAGACUCCUACGGGAGGCAGCAGUGGGGAAUAUUGGACAAUGGGCGCAAGCCUGAUCCAGCCAUACCGCGUGGGUGAAGAAGGCCUUCGGGUUGUAAAGCCCUUUUGUUGGGAAAGAAAAGCAGCAGGUUAAUACCCCGCUGUUCUGACGGUACCCAAAGAAUAAGCACCGGCUAACUUCGUG